rnacentral:rRNA from 1 species
AGCGAACGCUGGCGGCAGGCCUAAACAUGCAAGUCGAACGCCUGUAGCAAUACAGGAGUGGCAGACGGGUGAGUAACACGUGGGAACGUACCCUUUGGUUCGGAACAACACAGGGAAACUUGUGCUAAUACCGGAUAAGCCCUUACGGGGAAAGGAUUUAUCGCCAGAGGAUCGGCCCGCGUCUGAUUAGCUUGUUGGUGAGGUAACGGCUCACCAAGGCUACGAUCAGUAGCUGGUCUGAGAGGAUGAUCAGCCACACUGGGACUGAGACACGG